AUGGCAGAGAAUGACGCCGGAAAAAGUUGGUUGGAGGCAGAGACCAUUGGUGCGAUUUCGCGAGCCGGAGGGUGGAAUCGCAGCCGGUGCUGGUGCGGCCUUGUCGCAACUGUGUCGGUUCUGGCCAUCUCAGUUAUGAUCAUAGAUCAGUGGCUUGUGUUGAGUUGCGGCUGCCGGUGUGUUCAAAGAGGAAGUAGUUCCGAUUAUUUUUCUUCUUUGCACAUCGACGCAUAUGAGUUUGCGUGUCGCAGUUCCGUCGGUUCAAGAUUGGGAUCUGGGUGGCUGAAGGAGAAGGAAAAUGGUGAAGUUGUAGUGGUGUCUCACAGAGGUUGUCUGAAAGUGGUGAUGACUGAAGGUUAG